rnacentral:rRNA from 1 species
UGGCGGCGUGGAUAAGACAUGCAAGUCGAACGAGAGAAUUGCUAGCUUGCUAAUAAUUCUCUAGUGGCGCACGGGUGAGUAACACGUGAGUAACCUGCCCCCGAGAGCGGGAUAGCCCUGGGAAACUGGGAUUAAUACCGCACAGUAUCGAAAGAUUAAAGCAGCAAUGCGCUUGGGGAUGGGCUCGCGGCCUAUUAGUUAGUUGGUGAGGUAACGGCUCACCAAGGCGAUGAUGGGUAGCCGGUCUGAGAGGAUGUCCGGCCACACUGGAACUGAGACACGGUCCAGACACCUACGGGUGGCAGCAGUCGAGAAUCAUUCACAAUGGGGGAAACCCUGAUGGUUCGACGCCGCGUGGGGGAAUGAAGGUCUUCGGAUUGUAAACCCCUGUCAUGUGGGAGCAAAUUAAAAAGAUAGUACCACAAGAGGAAGAGACGGCUAACUCUGUGCCAGCAGCCGCGGUAAUACAGAGGUCUCAAGCGUUGUUCGGAAUCACUGGGCGUAAAGCGUGCGUAGGCUGUUUCGUAAGUCGUGUGUGAAAGGCGCGGGCUCAACCCGCGGACGGCACAUGAUACUGCGAGACUAGAGUAAUGGAGGGGGAACCGGAAUUCUCGGUGUAGCAGUGAAAUGCGUAGAUAUCGAGAGGAACACUCGUGGCGAAGGCGGGUUCCUGGACAUUAACUGACGCUGAGGCACGAAGGCCAGGGGAGCGAAAGGGAUUAGAUACCCCUGUAGUCCUGGCAGUAAACGGUGCACGCUUGGUGUGCGGGGAAUCGACCCCCUGCGUGCCGGAGCUAACGCGUUAAGCGUGCCGCCUGGGGAGUACGGUCGCAAGAUUAAAACUCAAAGAAAUUGACGGGGACCCGCACAAGCGGUGGAGUAUGUGGCUUAAUUCGAUGCAACGCGAAGAACCUUACCUGGGCUUGACAUGUAAUGAACAACAUGUGAAAGCAUGCGACUCUUCGGAGGCGUUACACAGGUGCUGCAUGGCCGUCGUCAGCUCGUGUCGUGAGAUGUUUGGUUAAGUCCAGCAACGAGCGCAACCCCUGUUGCCAGUUACCAGCACGUGAAGGUGGGGACUCUGGCGAGACUGCCCAGAUCAACUGGGAGGAAGGUGGGGACGACGUCAGGUCAGUAUAGCCCUUAUGCCCAGGGCUGCACACGUACUACAAUGCCCAGUACAGAGGGGGCCGAAGCCGCGAGGCGGAGGAAAUCCUGAAAACUGGGCCCAGUUCGGACUGUAGGCUGCAACCCGCCUACACGAAGCCGGAAUCGCUAGUAAUGGCGCAUCAGCUACGGCGCCGUGAAUACGUUCCCGGGUCUUGUACACACCGCCCGUCACAUCAUGGAAGCCGGUCGCACCCGAAGUAUCUGAAGCCAACCGCAAGGAGGCAGGGUCCUAAGGUGAGACUGGUAACUGGGAUGAA